CUUUCGACUCACCUAUCACCUAUCGGGUUCCCCAGCCUGCGGGGUGCAACCCCACUCCUCCCCUUCCCACCCAGUGGCUUCCCCUGCACCUUGUCACCCCUUUUGGGAGCCAUCCAAAUCCCACGCCAUCCCUGAGCUGCAGGGCUCUGGGAGAACUUCAGCUCAGCCAACAGGAAGGGAGCUCAGUUUUCAGGGCACGCUAGUCAGACCCGGCGGCAGAGGUGGAGAAGGGGGCCCCCAACCCCGGCCGAGGUGGAGCCCAGUCUGCAAGGGGCUGCAGCGGCAAUGCCUAGGCCCAGAGGCAGGCGGGGAGCAGGGGACGCAGGCGCUGGCCAAGUUGCCCAGUUUGGGUUCGAAUUUGAGACCUUCCUGCCACAGCCUCCCAGAGUGCGGGAUGACAGGCGUGCGGUAUCUGGCUCCCCCACCAUCGUCACCUUUGGAUUUCUGCCUCAAUACCUAACGGGUGCCCCUUCAUUCCCUCCACCCCCCAGCCCCACAGUGAUUUCCCAAAAUACAGAUCCGAUCAGGGCAUCCUCCCCUUAAAGAUGACAGGGACUGGUCUGUCCUCAGGUCCCUCUCCAGCCUUCCCCUUCCCUGCUGCUCCUCACCUCCUUCCUUUCUCCAAUCCAGACGAAUGGCAAAUGCCUUUUACAAUUUAAAGCGGUUCUGGUUCUUUUUGCUUUGAGACAGGGUCCACUAUGCGGUCCAGGCAGGCCUUCAACUCUCAGUGAUCCUCCUGCCUCAGCCUUCUGAGUGCUGGGAGUACAGGCUUGGGCCUCAGUUUUUAAAAAACUGAGUUAGAAGCUGGGCGUGGUGGUGCACUCAGGAGGCAGAGAGACUGUCUCAAAACAGAACAAAACUGAGAUGGGGAUCAGGAGCGCACAGCUGUCUACAACUCCUGGGCUCCAGCAGUCCCACCCCCUCAGCCUUCUCAGUGGCAAGGACUGCAAGCCUGUAUCACCACUCUGGCUCCAUCUUGAAUCCUUUAAAAAUGCUGUUAACGAAAAAAAGAAAUAAAAAAAUAAAAAUGC